ACAGCAGUAGCCACGGGAAUACAGAGGGUGCGAGCGUUAAUCGGAUUUACUGGGCGUAAAGCGUGCGUAGGCGGCUUCUUAAGUCGGAUGUGAAAUCCCUGAGCUUAACUUAGGAAUUGCAUUCGAUACUGGGAAGCUAGAGUAUGGGAGAGGAUGGUAGAAUUCCAGGUGUAGCGGUGAAAUGCGUAGAGAUCUGGAGGAAUACCGAUGGCGAAGGCAGCCAUCUGGCCUAAUACUGACGCUGAGGUACGAAAGCAUGGGGAGCAAACAGGAUUAGAGACCCCUGUAGUCCCUGUCUCUUAUAU
rnacentral:rRNA from 1 species